UAAUCCUUCAACCUUUCGCAGUUGGUAUGCAGUAUAGUAUCCACAAAACUGCAUUGCCUUCUCUAGUUCUCUUCCACCCCUCUCUUUCUCUCUUCUCUCCCCUUAUAAGCACCUGGCAAGCUCACACCCUAUAGGCUAUAGCACUAAACCACAACCAGCUAUAGCACAUCGAUUUCUUGGAAAGCCUGAAGAUCAAGUCCCCUUUACUCCCCAAAAGAUUUCCUGACCCCAAAUCUUCUGCAUACACACACUGCCAAGUCUCCAUGUCUGGCCCCUGAGGCAGCUCAAUCUCUCUUCCUUGGCCUUUUUAUUCACCACUGCACCACCACACACAAAGGUGACCAAGACUUGAGUUGAGAGAAGCUGGGCGUUUCAUCCCUGGUGCUUCUGGUACUUAGCUAGUUCUCUCAAGUGAAGCAAUGGAAGGCACGAUGAGCCUCUCCACCGUUGCGAUGGAGAGGAGGUGUUCUGCGACAGCCAAGCCUUGUGAGCAAGAGGUGUUCAGCUGGCAUAAAGACCAGAUAAUGUGUAGGCUUUGGCCACUGGGAGUGCUGGCACAGAUGGUUCAUGUAUAGCAAUUGCAUGGUGUUAUCCUGAUUGAGCUUUUCAUUCAAACCAUUAUUCUUAUCUCUUUUCAUAUUUUUGCAUUGUAUUAAUUGGGGCUACCUAAGAUUAGGUCUUCUUGACCUUGCAAGACCUUUUCUUGACCUUGUAAGACCCAACUUUACAAUGCUUCUUUUCUUUACCUCCAACUUCCAAAUUUGCUUUCUCCAUCUUAUCACCUCAUACUUUCAUCCUCAUUCUAAUUUCUUUCUUCCAUCUAUCCCUUCUGAGCUGCGAUGAAUGUUCACAAGUAUAGUUAUUAGAUUUAAGUAUUAAAAAAUACAGUGAUGUUCAGUUAGAAGUGAAGGGUGUGCUGCUUCGCCCAUGUACUGUUGUCGAUUUAUUGUGUAAAACCAUCCUUUCCACAUCGUUUUCGUUUUGAUGAGAGUGCAGAAGACGAGACACAAAGGCAUGUUCCUGUUGCGCCAUGAUGCUCAGGCAUGUGAAGUAGGAGCCUAUUUGUAAGCUAGCUUCAUAUGUACCCCAUAAAUGGAAUAAGUUCACUGUGUGCUGCUCAAAACAU